UUUUCGUUAUUUUUACUUUGUUGACGUAUUAUUUUUUUUUAUUUUGUUUAUUUUCUUGCUUUUUGCAACCGCGUGAACGCGUUUUCUGCGCUACAGACUGUGUUUUUCCGACUCCUUUGUUUGAUAUCGUGUCGUAUCGCCGUAUUUAUGGAGUUAUUAGGAACGGCAAGCCUACGUUGUUGCGUCCUUUACCUGAAUAUCGUGACCGAAUCGAGUGUCGUCGAUUUGAAUCGUGUCUUGCGAACCAUCGUCGAACAAAAGGUCAUGGCUGGUCGCGGUUCAUCAGCGUUUGUUUUGAAACUGAUGGGUACCACAAGGCAUGAAAGAGGUGACUUGCAGCAGCAAGACACUGCAAGCCUUCGCAGCAACUGGCUAGCCAGUGCUGCUCUGUUCUGAACUGCACUGCGUGUCAUGCGGAGGGUUUGUGCAAGCUCUCUGGGCAGCGACGCUAGCCACGAUUGGCUUCAUGGAUGCACAGAAAUACUCAAGGCGCUUGACGUCUGUGGCUCAUCUGUAUUGUUUUUCCCGGUACCACGGCAUGGAAGGAGCUGGCCUCCCUCCCUUCCAUCAGCUGCGAUAUACUACAAGCACUGGGCUACAGCUGCAGCUAGCCCAUGGGUACCGUUCUGCGUCCUGUACUGCAUCUAGUUUGAAAGGCCAUGUGAAAGGCAGGUGUGGUCUUUAUGGGCUCUGUCACUAUGUACAUUUUCUGCAGCUUUUUCGGGGCAACUUCAUAUUAAGAUUCAAUACGGACUUGAGUGAGAGGGGGGCAUUCUGAGAAAGCCAGCCUCUUUCUUAAACCAUUGGGACUGGUAUUAUAUCUAUAGAGUUUAUUUACACCUUACGUUAUGUACUUUUUUAUUUAUUUUUAUUUUGCUAGUUACUUAUACUUCAAUCUGACACGACAGCCACCAAAAAUGGGGAAAGGACAAAAAUGUUGACAUAUUGGCCUUUUUUUUUUCUGGCAGUUUCUUUGAAGAGUCAAUGUUGGGGGCAGUCAUUCAUGUUAUUUUUCCCACACGCACGUCCAUCCUAUGUUUACGUAGAGCCCCAAUUGCCCCUUAGCAACAAAAAUAAUUUAUGCGACAGACUAGGCGGCAGCAUUGCGGACGAAAACAGGCCAGAUUAUAUCUGCCAUGUUUAAAAACUACAUUUGGUGACAGGUUAUGAAUUCAGUGGCAAAAUGCACACCGCCUGCCAAUCACUGCCGUCAGUUGUCGUGACGUCACGUCCUGCUAAGAAACUAGAAACCAGUAUAUAUUUUUUUUAAAUGGCAGGUUUUGGUUGCUGAUGCCACGUAGCACGUCGGCACUCUAAGCAAUUCUUCUGCUCUUGGCCUCCGGUUUUACCUUGCAAAGUCAUGACGGUGUCUGCUUUUGUUUGCGGUAUUUCCCGUGUGUCGACGUGAGAAGGCAGCGGUUGUAUCGCCAAGGAAGUAGCGAUCAAUCUGCGCAUUUGUUCCAGCGGCAUAGCAUUUACAAACCGGACUUUGCCCUUCACCGAGGAGAAAGUCUACCGACUGGCCCCACAGUUGGCGAGCAUUGUGCAGCCGUGAGCGCGUAACUUGUCCGAAUGCUUUCGUCUGUGUACAGUGACAAAAGGACUCGGUGAAAUGCGAAGUACCAUACAGUACCAUGCCGUACAGCAAACCAUCAAUCGCUGCAGCAACUUUGCGUUUUAAGUCAUAAUAAUAAAGUGAUUUUUAGGCUAAAAUCAUUUUUUCAUACUGCUCAAUUAUUCGGAAUUCUGCACGAUCCCCAUUGGGUCUACAAUAUCGGUCGGUGGCUGUAUAACCUUUAAACUCAAUGGUUACACACCACAGGUACCGGGGACCAUGACAUCAAUGAGCUGGCUUUCACCUUGUCCAAGGCAGCAGCGGAACACUACGGGCGGGACCCUGGAUCACUGCACCAUGGAUGCCGUCCUGUACCCUUCACGGCACUGCGUGUGGCUUAAAGGGGUCAUGAAACGCUUUUCCAACUUUUUCCUGUUUCGCUUUCCUCCUCAACUCAUAAAUCGCGCAUUCCACCAAACAGAAGACGAAAAGGGGGAGUCCCCUCUUGCUCGCACUCUCGUUUGUGUAAUCCCGGACACAUCCAUUCUCCCCCUAGAAGAUUAGCCCGUCGCUCAAAAUUCAGACAAAAGUUGCUUUCCCCACCCCGUUCAUUCCGAAGCUGACAGUGCUGUUGAAGCUACGUGCUCGUUAGGCCAGCCACACUUGCCACGUGAGCGUGGCAAAUGUGGCUGCAGAGAAUGAAGUCAGGUGAUGAAAGGGAGGCGGCUGAUUGGUCCGGCAAGCGCGUAGCUUCCACCACAAUGUCAGCUUAGGGGUGAAGGGAAUAAGUGAGGUCCGGUUGCGUGUGACGUCAGUUUGGACCCGAUAACGCGCUUUUGGGACCGCGGAUGUAUCACAGUGAAAAGGCAGAGAGAUUGCGAAGGGGAGGAGGUACGAAAUAGUCCGUUCUGUUUUCAAAUUUUCGCACUGAAACUCAGGCUUUUGACUUUCUACCUUUUUUCUUUUGGUCCACUGAACGAUGUGCUAUUAGUAAAAUCCCAAUCUAAAAUGAUUUAUCCCAACCCAAAAAUCGUUUCAUGGGCCCUUUAAGUGGCCAAGCAGAGGGUCAUUGCAUGACUUUUAUGAGGCGCCGCUAGCCAUUGUUUCAAACCGCCCUGAAUCGUGGAUCAAGCCUUGCAAGAUGGAAGUUCUCUUUAGGCCCAGCGCCUCUUGAUGGAUAAAGUCUUGUACCCAAUUCCCUCGUGUCUUUCAUAUAAGUAAAUUGUUGGUAUUUCUUUUAUGACAGUGCACGUUACCUGCCGACCACGUUUUACAGUUGAAACGCAGUGUACCGAAACUUCUUUUAUAUAGACACCUUUCUUUGCAAACGCCACCAGGCGGUGCUUCAGUUUGUUUGACGUCUCAGCAAACUUCUGAUUCAUAACAAGAAUGAACAAAACCCACUUUGACACUGCUGCCUAAAAUGUCGAUAAAACGUGUAACCACCAAUUCUCCAGGUGAGCGCCAAAAGAAUGAAGAAACGGGAGAUAUGUUAAAAUGGUUCAAAUAUUUUGUACACCAACUUGCCUCCUCCAAGACAUUAAAUUGUACAGCCAAAUUAGAGCGCAGCUCUUGAGGAGGA